UUAUCUGCACGAGUUAUGGAACAAGUUAGUGCAUAAAAGAUAACGUAAUAAAAUCUUUAUUGAUCCCCAGAGAGAAAUUUAAUUAAAAUAAUUAGAAAAUGAUAGUAAGAUAGCAAUUUUUCAAUUCCAAAAAAUUAUUUUGCAAGAUAUUGUUCCCUCGAAGAAAGGAAUGUAAACUUAUAUUAAGAUUAUUUUUUUGUACACACAAGGUUACAACUUGAAGUUGUUAUCUUGUCUGAACAACUUAUCUCAUAUGCAUCAGUUUACUUGUGCACAAAAGACAACCUGAUGCACAAGAUUUCUUGAUCUGUUGUGUUUUACGAGAAAUGAUAGCCAUAGUUAUGGAGAAGUGAUGUUAUUCGUGGUCACCUUAGAGCUCUGAAUGUUUAACAUUUUUCAGAUCUAAACAAACUAAGCUACUGAGCGGACUGCUAUCUUUGAUAAAUAGCAAAUAUUUUGGAAAACCUUCAACUUAACCCUAAAAUAAAGUACCUGGACUUUAUCUUAGUACUCUAAAGUACUAAAAUACCAGUACCUGGACUUCCCUUGAGACAAACACCUGAGGAGAAACGCUGAUCUCAAGUUCACAUUGGGGGAAAAAUGGCUUCAGGCAGACCUCCUGCUGUGAAGAGCCUCCUGACCCAGGUCAGGCGAUGGCUCAGCAGCCUCUCGAGUUAGAAUCUUUCCAGUAUAAAAAUGAAUAAUCAGAUUUAGCUGAAUUUUACUCAUUAAAAGCUUUUGGGUUAAUCAUGCUUUUUAUUUAAUUGAAUCAUUGAGAGUAAACAUCGAAAAGUAUGCAAAUUCAUUUAACUAGAGUUAUGUUGUUAAAGUGUUAAUUGUCAGAAAUUUUCUGGUUUUCUUUCAUAGAAAAGGAGGUUUAAGGAUACGAUUAAAAGAGAGAUAAGCUAUCCAUCUUGUUAAAAUGGAAAUGUCUCCUAAAUCAUAUCCAGAUUUUAAAUUGCCCCUGGGGGACAUAAGGGAUUUGAACUGAACUGAAGAUUUUCACAGAGUUUGACACAACAGGAUCAGAAAGGAUCCUGGUUUUGGUUUAUAAUGGAGCAGAUUUUUAAAAAAUAGAAAUCUAACAUGUCAACUUUUAUACAUUAGCCACUCUAGUGUUUUAUUUCUUCAUGAUUUUCAGUCACUGUUUUUACAUACAUAACUUUUCUGUUAAACCCUCUGUUUUCUCCUUAAAUGCUUUGAUGUGAGUCAAAUCUCUGACUCUGGCACUAUUAUAUCUGAACUUCUGGAUCUCAUGUCAGCCAGCAGAUGGCUUCAAAUGUCCUCAGAGUUUCUUCUGAUGUCCUUACGAAAACACAGCAGGGGUUUCCACAAAGCACAUGAAUUACUGCACACAGUCUCACCAACAGGAAACCUGAAUAACCUGCUGCACUCUGUGACACCCGUACAUUCAAUAUCAACACGAGAAAAAAAAAGCUUUCAUUUAUGCCAGAAUGAUUAAACCUGAGACAGACAAAGAAAGAUCAUUCAAGGUGCAAUGACAUCAGACUGUUUGUAUCCUCAAGAGGGAAGUUAAGUGCCGACAUGUUUUACUUUGUCCACAUGAACUAAUGAGCUCAUAAGACACUUCUGACAAUAAUUAAAACAUGCUGUGAACAACUUGAUUCCUAAAAAUGUGUCCCUUUAAUCCACUAACUUAAAAUUUUUUCUUUGUUUUAUGUCCUUAAAAUUUAGGGCCAAACAAAGAGCAGCACAAUAACAUAAAGUAAAAGAUAUGAGGUAAAUGACAAAGAACAUCAGAGGUCAC